rnacentral:rRNA from 1 species
GAAUUCGCCCUUAGAGUUUGAUCCUGGCUCAGGACGAACGCUGGCGGCGUGCUUAACACAUGCAAGUCGAACGAUGAAGCCUAGCUUGCUAGGUGGAUUAGUGGCGAACGGGUGAGUAAUACGUGAGUAACCUACCUUUAACUCUGGGAUAAGCCUGGGAAACUGGGUCUAAUACCGGAUACGACCAAUCUCCGCAUGGGGUGUUGGUGGAAAGCGUUAUGUAGUGGUUAUAGAUGGGCUCACGGCCUAUCAGCUUGUUGGUGAGGUAACGGCUCACCAAGGCGACGACGGGUAGCCGGCCUGAGAGGGUGACCGGCCACACUGGGACUGAGACACGGCCCAGACUCCUACGGGAGGCAGCAGUGGGGAAUAUUGCACAAUGGGCGCAAGCCUGAUGCAGCGACGCCGCGUGAGGGAUGACGGCCUUCGGGUUGUAAACCUCUGUUAGCAGGGAAGAAGAGAAAUUGACGGUACCUGCAGAGAAAGCGCCGGCUAACUACGUGCCAGCAGCCGCGGUAAUACGUAGGGCGCGAGCGUUGUCCGGAUUUAUUGGGCGUAAAGCGAGCGCAGGCGGUUUGAUAAGUCUGAAGUUAAAGGCUGUGGCUCAACCAUAGUUCGCUUUGGAAACUGUCAAACUUGAGUGCAGAAGGGGAGAGUGGAAUUCCAUGUGUAGCGGUGAAAUGCGUAGAGAUGUGGAGGAAUACCGAUGGCGAAGGCAGCCUCCUGGGAUAACACUGACGUUCAUGCUCGAAAGCGUGGGUAGCAAACAGGAUUAGAUACCCUGGUAGUCCACGCCCUAAACGAUGUCAAUUAGCUGUUGGGCAACUUGAUUGCUUAGUAGCGUAGCUAACGCGUGAAAUUGACCGCCUGGGGAGUACGGUCGCAAGAUUAAAACUCAAAGGAAUUGACGGGGACCCGCACAAGCGGUGGAUGAUGUGGAUUAAUUCGAUGCAACGCGAAGAACCUUACCUGGUCUUGACAUGUACGGAAUCCUCCAGAGACGGAGGAGUGCCUUCGGGAGCCGUAACACAGGUGCUGCAUGGCUGUCGUCAGCUCGUGUCGUGAGAUGUUGGGUUAAGUCCCGCAACGAGCGCAACCCUUGUCAUUAGUUGCCAUCAUUAAGUUGGGCACUCUAAUGAGACUGCCGGUGACAAGCCGGAGGAAGGUGGGGAUGACGUCAAGUCCUCAUGGCCCUUAUGACCAGGGCUUCACACGUCAUACAAUGGUCGGUACAGAGGGUAGCCAAGCCGCGAGGUGGAGCCAAUCUCACAAAACCGAUCGUAGUCCGGAUUGCACUCUGCAACUCGAGUGCAUGAAGUCGGAAUCGCUAGUAAUCGCAGGUCAGCAUACUGCGGUGAAUACGUUCCCGGGUCUUGCACACACCGCCCGUCA